rnacentral:rRNA from 1 species
GACGAACCGAGCGAACGUUGUUCGGAAUCACUGGGCUUAAAGGGCGCGUAGGCGGAUUCUCAAGUCCGGGGUGAAAUCCCACAGCUCAACUGUGGAACUGCCUCGGAUACUGGGGGUCUCGAGGGUGGCAGGGGUAUGCGGAACUAUCGGUGGAGCGGUGAAAUGCGUUGAUAUCGAUAGGAACUCCGGUGGCGAAGGCGGCAUACUGGUCCACUUCUGACGCUGAGGC